rnacentral:rRNA from 1 species
UACAGAGGGUGCGAGCGUUGUCCGGAAUCACUGGGCGUAAAGGGCGCGUAGGUGGUGGCUUAAGCGUGCGGUGAAAGCUCGGGGCUCAACUCCGAGUCGGCCGUGCGAACUGGGCUCACUGGAGCAUAGUAGAGGCAGGUGGAAUUCCGGGUGUAGCGGUGGAAUGCGUAGAGAUCCGGAAGAACACCAGUGGCGAAGGCGGCCCGCUGGGCAGUGGCUGACGCUGAGACGCGAAAGCGUGGGGAGCAAACAGG